UACGGAGGGUGCAAGCGUUAUCCGGAUUCACUGGGUUUAAAGGGUGCGUAGGCGGGCUUGUAAGUCCGUGGUGAAAUCUCUGAGCUUAACUCGGAAACUGCCAUGGAUACUAUGAGUCUUGAAUACUCGGGAGGUGAGCGGAAUAUGUCAUGUAGCGGUGAAAUGCUUAGAUAUGACAUAGAACACCAAUUGCGAAGGCAGCUUGCUACAGAGUUAUUGACGCUGAGGCACGAAAGCGUGGGGAUCAAACAGG
rnacentral:rRNA from 1 species